GUUUUCGAGGGGGAAAUGCAAGCACAUUCUCCAGCAUGGAGUCCCUAGAGGCAGUGCAUUUUAAACCCUAAAUGUGAAUUAUUAUGUGAGUGUCCGAGUAGAGUUCCAGUUCCGUUUGGAGAAACUGUAUGAGGCGUGUUCCGUGUGGGUGUGUGUGCGUACGGAUACGUGGAAGCAGGAUCUCGGUGUCGCGGGUGUCCCUAGGCUGGGAUCUCCCCCUCUCAUCAGAUAAGGAGAAUCCUCUAGCUCCCCAAAACUGGCCCCCAUAACCAAUCCCGUCUCAGUUCGUAAGGGGUUAACCAAAGCCGAUUCCAAGGAAACACAGGUCCCCCCCACCCCCCGCCACCCUCCACUUACCCCACCCACAGUUCUGCCUCGGACCCCGGCCAAUCCCCCAGAUCUCCCCCGGGACCCCCCACCCCGCAGCCCACCCACCCGAGCGCACAGCUCCUCACCUGAGGGGCCCAGUCGCGUCGGGCCUCCCGAGGGGGCUGCGAGUGUCAGUCGGCUCUCCGCACGUGUCCGCGGCCUCGCGGAGCAGUCCACCCCUGGCUGGUUUCUGCUUCCACCUGCUGAUCUCACAGAGCACUGCAAGCUAUUUGGCAUAUGAAGGUCUUGACCUGAGAAAACCAUCUUGGAUAACUGCAGCAAGGAAAAGGAAAAAUGCAACACCUAGGAGAUUUCAGUAAACAGUAGAAUCAUGCCAACCUAAUCUGUGUUAAAAUGCUUGGAAUGUGGGAGCCGCUGAUGAUGCCUCUUGUCUGUGUGUCUGACUGAAUCCUUUCUUUUCUCAGAGCAGCAAAGCAAAGCCUGGGAACCAGGCCAAAUGCCUGCCACUUACCUUAAAUUGAUCAGCCACUUUGAGAUUAAAACCCCUGAAAGCUGCCACACCGUGAAAACAAGGCCUCCUUCACAUUAAAGGCAAAUUGCGACUUUGGGUUUGCUGUGAUCUUUUUUCCAUUUUAUCCAGUUUUUCACAGUGCACUUUUUUCCCCCUUUCCAUUUAUGCUCCAAUAUAGAAGCCAAUAGUUACAGCAUCUUGGCCAAGCAUUCAUUAAGGUUUAUAAGAACAAAAUUUAUGGUUAUUUAGGAGUUGGCACAAAGGCAGACUGUUGCUGGAAAAAGAAAAAGAAAUACAGGUGGGAAAUAGAAGCCUCCACAAAGGCCCACACUAUACAGUAGUGUACUAGACUCUAGUAGUGGGCUGGGAGGAAAAUGAAAUAGUAUUUGAAACCAGCUACUCUUCUAUUCUGAAUCAUUCUCAUUUAUGGCUCUGCAGAUUAUUGAAACAAGUAUACUGGUUAUUCCAGGAGAUUUUUCUGUCUUGGGUAAAUGCUACCAUUUACAGGAGCUGACAGUAGAGAUAAAUAGAUGUGUGCCAAUCUGAGUGAUCUGGCAGUUUGGCUAAAGGAUAAAGUGCAUUUAAAAAAGAAAUAUAUAUA
rnacentral:lncRNA from 10 species